rnacentral:rRNA from 1 species
GAUGAACGCUGGCGGCGUGCUUAACACAUGCAAGUCGAACGGACUUUAAAUGAAGCCUAGCGAUUUUAAAGUUAGUGGCGGACGGGUGAGUAACGCGUGGGUAACCUGCCGUAUACAGGGGGAUAACACUUAGAAAUAGGUGCUAAUACCGCAUAAGCGCACAGCUUUGCAUGAAGUAGUGUGAAAAACUCCGGUGGUAUACGAUGGACCCGCGUCUGAUUAGCUAGUUGGUGAGGUAACGGCCCACCAAGGCGACGAUCAGUAGCCGGCCUGAGAGGGUGAACGGCCACAUUGGGACUGAGACACGGCCCAAACUCCUACGGGAGGCAGCAGUGGGGAAUAUUGCACAAUGGGGGAAACCCUGAUGCAGCGACGCCGCGUGAACGAAGAAGUAUUCGGUAUGUAAAGGUUCUAUCAGCAGGGAAGAAAAUGACGGUACCUGACUAAGAAGCCCCGGCUAACUACGUG